GUGGGGAAUAUUGGACAAUGGGCGAAAGCCUGAUCCAGCCAUGCCGCGUGAGUGAUGAAGGCCCUAGGGUUGUAAAGCUCUUUCACCGGGGAAGAUAAUGACGGUACCCGGAGAAGAAGCCCCGGCUAACUUCGUGCCAGCAGCCGCGGUAAUACGAAGGGGGCUAGCGUUGUUCGGAAUUACUGGGCGUAAAGCGCACGUAGGCGGAUCAGUCAGUUAGGGGUGAAAUCCCAGGGCUCAACCCUGGAACUGCCUUUAAUACUGCUGAUCUAGAGUUCGAGAGAGGUGAGUGGAAUUCCGAGUGUAGAGGUGAAAUUCGUAGAUAUUCGGAGGAACACCAGUGGCGAAGGCGGCUCACUGGCUCGAUACUGACGCUGAGGUGCGAAAGCGUGGGGAGCAAACAGGAUUAGAUACCCCGGUAGUCC
rnacentral:rRNA from 1 species